rnacentral:rRNA from 1 species
UACAGGGGGUGCAAACGUUGCUCGGAAUCAUUGGGCGUAAAGCGCACGUAGGCGGUUCGUUAUGUCGGAUGUGAAAGCCCUUGGCUUAACCGAGGAAGUGCAUCCGAAACUGGCGAGCUAGAGUACUAAAGAGGAUCGCGGAAUUCCCGGUGUAGAGGUGAAAUUCGUAGAUAUCAGGAGGAAUACCGGUGGUGUAGACGGCUCUCUGGACCGCCACUGACGCUGAGACACGAAAGCGUGGGUAGCAAACAGG